AUACCAUGAUGAGGGCACUUCCAUAACAACUCUUUAAAUCACUCACAUGCAUCAUACAACGAUUCUCCUUUCGUUUGGUAGAAAUUAUCAAUUUCCCCUCUCAACUU